rnacentral:rRNA from 1 species
UACGUAGGUGGCAAGCGUUGUUCGGAAUUAUUGGGCGUAAAGGGCGCGUAGGCGGUCUUGUAAGUCAGCUGUGAAAGCCCGGGGCUCAACCCCGGAGGGUCGGCUGAUACUGCAGGACUGGAGUACGGAAGAGGUAGCUGGAAUUCCCGGUGUAGCGGUGAAAUGCGCAGAUAUCAGGAGGAACACCAAUGGCGAAGGCAGCACUCUGGGACGUGACUGACGCUGAGACGCGAAAGCGUGGGGAGCAAACAGG